CCCCAACCACCUCGUUAUAAUCAAUUACGUCCCUUUCCCUAUGACUGAGCCGCCUCUAGAGGGUUCAUCAGCUGUUAGGAACCCUAGGAGAAGAUCUAGGGUUGCAACCUCAAGCAAACCUUUUUCAUCUACUACCAAACGAGGCUCUGAGAAGAAAAAGGGAAGAGAACACCACAAAUUGCAGGGGUAACAUUGCAAGUUUCACAACAGUCAAAGAAGCACAAACAAUGUAUUAUGGUCCAUCUCUAGAAAACUAGUUUGCAAAAAAAUGCAGGUUGUGAGGGUGCUAGGAAGAUGCUUGCAACUUUAGUCUAUUUGUAGGAGCUUCUUGAACACAGUAAACCGAUGUGAAUGCAUUUCAAAACUUCAUGUCUUGUCCACUGAUCACCGUCCACUGAUCACCCAAGGGUGGAUCAAUCAACUCCAAACUUGUUCCAUUGGCCCAUUGUUGCCAUGCCUAUGUAAAUGAGAUGAAUCAUAAAAUUAGUGUACUUAAUCUUCCAUGGAUUGAUCCUUGUAAAUUAGAUGAACCAUAAAAUUAGUGUACUCAA